rnacentral:rRNA from 1 species
UACGAAGGGGGCUAGCGUUGUUCGGAAUUACUGGGCGUAAAGGGCGCGUAGGCGGUGUGUCAAGUCAGGCGUGAAAGCCCCGGGCUCAACCUGGGAACAGCGCUUGAGACUGGCACGCUCGAGUUCGGGAGAGGAUGGUGGAAUUCCCAGUGUAGAGGUGAAAAUUCGUAGAUAUUGGGAAGAACACCGAUGGCGAAGGCAGCUCGCUGGGACGUUACUGACGCUGAGACGGCGAAAAGCGUGGGGAGCAAACAGGGAUUAAGAUACCCCAGA